rnacentral:rRNA from 1 species
UACGUAGGGGGCUAGCGUUGUCCGGAAUCAUUGGGCGUAAAGAGCGUGUAGGCGGUCCGGUAAGUCCGUUGUGAAAGUCAGGGGCUCAACCCUUGAAUGCCGGCGGAUACUGUCGGGCUAGAGUCCGGAAGAGGCGAGUGGAAUUCCCGGUGUAGCGGUGAAAUGCGUAGAUAUCUGGAAGAACACCAGUGGCGAAGGCGCUCUACUGGGCCGUAACUGACACUGAGGGACGAAAGCUAGGGGAGCGAAAGGG